rnacentral:rRNA from 1 species
AGCCUGAUCCAGCAAUGCCGCGUGGGUGAAGAAGGUCUUCGGAUUGUAAAGCCCUUUCGACGGGGACGAUGAUGACGGUACCCGUAGAAGAAGCCCCGGCUAACUUCGUGCCAGCAGCCGCGGUAAUACGAAGGGGGCUAGCGUUACUCGGAAUGACUGGGCGUAAAGGGCGCGUAGGCGGUUCGUACAGUUGGAUGUGAAAUUCCUGGGCUCAACCUGGGGGCUGCAUUCAAUACGUGCGGGCUUGAGUUCGGAAGAGGGUCGUGGAAUUCCCAGUGUAGAGGUGAAAUUCGUAGAUAUUGGGAAGAACACCGGUGGCGAAGGCGGCGACCUGGUCCGAUACUGACGCUGAGGCGCGAAAGCGUGGGGAGCAAACAGGAUUAGAUACCCUGGUAGUCCACGCUGUAAACGAUGUGUGCUGGAUGUUGGGUGACCUAGUCACUCAGUGUCGUAGCUAACGCGAUAAGCACACCGCCUGGGGAGUACGGCCGCAAGGUUGAAACUCAAAGGA